UGCCACAGCCAUAUCACCCUGCAGCCCAAGACCGGUUACUCACUAAAGCUAAGCAGGGCUGAGCCUGGUUAGUACCUGGAUGGGAGACCACUAGGGAACACUAGGUUGCUGUUGGAA
rnacentral:rRNA from 1 species